AGGUUUUAACUACUUAUACACAAGGAUGUUAUCAAUCAUUUAGAAAUUAGCGUUCGAUCAUUUAGUAGUUUGUUAAUAACUCAUUACAAAAGCUGAAUUUCAAAAUGUGUUGUAUGGUGGACUUCUAGUUCUUUUCUACAACUCUGCCUAAUGGUUCGUUGUUUGAAUUCAACUAGUAACAGAGUUAUAGCUAUAGUUUCAGUAACUUAGACUAAAUGAUAACAAAAUUCCAAUAAUUUAGUUUAAGUUACUGCAACUAGCGCUAUAACUCCGUUAUUAGUUGAAUUCUUUUAACGAACCAUUAGGCAGAGUUGUAGAAAAACCUUCGCACCAGAAGUCUACCAUACAACACAUUUUGAAAUUGUGGAAUGAGUUAUUGACAAACUACUAAAUGAUCGAACGCAAAAUACUAAAAUUUAGAUCAUUUAAUGAUCGAUAACAUCCUUGGAUAUACAUUUGUAUUUUCAGGAUUUAACUAGAUAUACAUUUUAAAUGAUUGACUGUGUAGUGUGUAUACAAUCCGUCUAGCAUAUUCUAGGAUGGGAAACAUUCUCGGCUCCCUGGGCACACUUGCCACGCAAGAUACAUGGUAUUCAUGCAGUUGGCGGCCAUAAAAACGCAUUCAAUUAUAAUGUGGAAAAGCUUAUAGAGCACCAAGUUGGAAAGCUGGCUAAGUUCCAGUUGGUAUGUAGUGUCAUUAAAGGUGAAGAAGACUUCAGUGUGUUCAGCUAUAAAAAAAAAACAAAAUCAAAACACGACUCAUAUUCCAUUCAAUUCCACCAUUUGAUUGUAAGUUUUCCGAUUCAUAUUUCGACAUGAACAGUAUGGUAAAUCUAAAAUUUAAGGUCAAAAUUAACUACCACAAUGAAAUAUUCAAUAAAAUCUUUACACUAUAGAUGCAUUAAUUUAUUUUAUAUUGCUUUUUUCACAGAAACAGAAUGGAUUGAACAACAUACCUGGCUUGCCUAAAUUCUUUUAGCAAACCUAUCUCAAUCAGGCUCUUCAAUCAGGUCCCGGUUCAUUAAAUUUGAGAGCGGAGUGGGUGGAGGUAUGUUUGUCCAGCAUAUCCUAAUGCCUGGCCAGGCGGGAUAUUUAAAUCAUCAGAUCCUCAAUCAAUCAUUAGCACCGCAGAUCCUUUUCUUGUCCAAUCAGAUGCAGAAUAACAUUGAGGUGAGUAUUUAAUAUGACUACAUUUGUUGUUCACUUAGUUAUGCAUUUCCGAAUUUUAGCGGAAUAAUUUAUAACGAGCUGAUUGUUCUUCCACAUAUCAAAUGUCGUUGAUUCCGAUAAGAAAGAAACAAAUUACCCACAAAAAGUAAUCUUGAACAAGCAUUCUGGAAACAUCAACCACCUGGCAGAUAACUUUCAUUGUGGACUUAAUGAUCUAACUGUCGCGACCGGGUAUCCUCGUCCCGCGGUUCAUUGUCGUGAAUAACACCACCAGCGAUGGCUCGACGCUCCAAGAUUGGAAUUGAUUGACGGAUUGCGGAAAGCACAACUUCAGCAGCCGGACAUCGGAACGAUGGAAGGAUGAAGCGGUGUCAACAUUUGGACCGAGGACUAUAAUCGGAUGGGACAGUCAGAAGCCGGCAUAAUAUCUACUCCGACGAUGGGUAAAGCCGUAACACCGCCCUCUAUUAUUCGGAGUGUCCAGCCAACGCGGGUGGUGUUAUUCACGACAAUGAACCGCGGGACGAUGAUGCCCGGUCGCGACAGUUAGAUUAUUAAGUUCACGACGGAAGUUAUUUGCCAGGUGGUUGAUAUUUCCAGAAUGCUUGUUCAAGAUUACUUUUUGUGGGUGAUUUGAUUCUGCAAUCCACCAAUUUGUUGCUUUAUUAACGGAAUCAUCGACAUUUGUUUAUUCGAAGAGCAAUCAGCUCGUUUUAAAUUAUUCUGCGUAACUUGUAGUUCCUAAACUUCGGAAACGCAUAAAUACUAAGUGAACAACAAAUGUAGUCAUACGUAGUCAUACCAAAUACUCACCUCAAUGUUAUUCAGCAUCUGAUUGAACCAGAAAAGGAUCUGUGGUGCUUAUGAUUGAUUUAGGAUUUGAUGAUUUAAAUAUCCCACUUGGACAGGAAUUAUGAUCUGCUGGACCAACAUACACAGCCGCAGGGUUGAUGACUGGGCAGAUGGAGUUCUGGGCAGCUCCAACACCAUAAAAAACGCCAGCUAUACCCCACCCACUCCGUUCUCGAAUUGAAUGAACCGGGACCUGAUUGAGAUAGCUUUGUAAUAAUUUGCUAAGAGGAUUUAGGUCAGUUCAUGUUGUUGUUCAAUCCAUUCUGGUUCUGUGUGAAAAACAAUUUAGAAAUAAUUAAAGCAUCUAUAGUGUAAAGAUUUUAUUGAAUAUUUUAUUGUUGUAGUUUAUUCUUGAAGUAUUCUUCACCAUCAAUGACUACAUACCAACUGGAACUUGGCCAGCUUUUCAUCCUAGUGUUCUGUAAGCUUUUCCACAGCUAUUAAAUGAAAGCUUUUUUUAAAGCCGCCAACUGCUCGAAUGCCACACUCAAAUUAAAUGGCUGAUAAAUUAUAAGUGCAAAAAGCACAUAGACGACGAGCGCAAUUCAAAAUUUACAUUCUAAGUGCGCCUAAUAAAAAUCAUGUAUAAAUAUUAAUUAUUAUAAGAGGUUCAAAUAUACUAUAUUAUGUGUAAAAUGAAUUUGUAGUGCACAAUAUAAACAAAAUAUUAGUCUUGUCAUUAUUCAUUUCGAAAACCCCAAAAACGAAAAUGUUUCUACUGCAACUGCAUUAUACGGAAACUCGAGGAGAAGGAAAACUCUUCAAAUACUGCUUGAAAGAACCUGCCGAAUUUCUCAGCAAUUACAAGCCUAUAUUUCAGAACCUAACUAAACAUCGAACAUAGGUUCGGAACUGAGAAUUCGGAAUACUACAAGGGACGAGAUGGUUCUACGGCUGGAGCUACGCUAUACGGGAGUAUAACAACUGCCUAGAGGAGUAUACAUAGAUAACUUCUACCAUUUCCGCUCAGGCUGAUUUUCAAGUACACGUAUACGGAAAUUUCGGUUUCGACGCUGGUUCAUUUAGCUCAGGAAAGUUUUGGAGAAUCUGUUCAUUUUUCAGACCAAAGAAAGGUCGAAUGAUUACUGGUAACAACGAAACUCGCUUGAUGCAGCAGGAAAAAGGACUCAAGGAGAAAUGACGAAUAGUCUGACAAGUAAAAAGCAGGAUGCAGUAUCUUCGUGGGCUUCCAAACUAUUGCAUGUUAUGUACUCUUCUGAAACAUUUAUUGAGAUAUCUGUUAUGUUAGCUAUCAUAUAUCUUAUAAGCACAACUAUUAUCAAUAAACACAAAUAAACCAUGAAAAUAAAAACAAUUUUUAAUGCCUGGCUUUGAUUCAAAUAAGAUUGAUAAAUAUGUGCAAUGAUAUUGAAAACCGAUCAGUAA